ensembl:ncRNA C40C9.13 ncRNA
CCCAGGUGGUCCCAAUUCCAAUUUGUGUGAAUAAACCAAUUGAAUCGUCACAUCCCGCGGCGGAUUGCCUCCUUCCGUCAAGUGUAAAACACAACUGUUCGUAGUCCCCCGGCCACGUUUGACACUGCUU